AUGUAUGAUGCAUUAGUUCAUAACGGGGUUCCAAUUGACAAUAGAAAAUUGUGGAAGCUGAAGAUUCCUCUAAAAGUGAAAAUUUUCCUAUGGUUUCUCAAUAAAGGAGUUAUCUUAACUAGGGACAAUUUGGCACGACAAAACUGGCAAGGUUGCAAAAAAUGUGUUUUCUGCCACCAUGAUGAGUCCAUUAAGCAUUUAUUUUUUGAUUGCAAGUUUGCUCGAUCUGUAUGGGCCAUUGUCCAAAUAGUUUCGAAUCUAUAUCCUCCACGUAGUGCACGGAAUAUGUUCGGCAAUUGGUUGAGGGGUAUAGAUAAACAGUUUUCUAAACACAUUCUUGUGGGAACGGCUGCCUUAUGUUGGGCGCUGUGGCUCACUAGGAAUGACAUUGUUUUUAACCGUAAAUGCAUUUCAUCUCCUAUGCAGGUUAUUCAUAUAUGUUCGUGAUGGCUCCGUAUGUGGUCUAUCCUGCAGAGGCCGGAGGACAGAGACCUUUUUAUGAUGGCUUCUACUCGGCUGGAGCGUUCGGCCAGGGAGAUUUUUUAG
rnacentral:rRNA from 1 species